CCCUUAGAUGUUCUGGGCCGCACACGCGCUACACUGAAGGAGGCAGCGUGUACUCCUGGAUCGAAAGAUUUGGGUAACCCGCGAAUCUCCUUCGUGCUAGGGAUUGAGGUUUGCAAUUAUCCUUCAUGAACGAGGAAUUCCCAGUAAGUGCAAGUCAUAAGCUUGCGCUGACUACGUCCCUGCCCUUUGUACACACCGCCCGUCGCUCCUACCGAUUGAAUGGUCCGGUGAAAAUUUCGGAUAGUGGCGAUGCUGGCGGUUCGCCGCCGGCGCUGCCGCUAGAAGAUCUUUAAACCUUAUCAUUUAGAGGAAGGAGAAGUCGUAACA
rnacentral:rRNA from 1 species